rnacentral:rRNA from 1 species
GACGAACGCUGGCGGCGUGCUUAACACAUGCAAGUAGAACGCAGUUGCGAACGGGUGAGUAACGCGUAGGUAACCGCCUGGUAGCGGUGGGUAACUAUUGGAAACGAUAGCUAAUACUGCUUACGACUAGAUGGACCUGCGUUGUAUUAGCUAGUUGGUGCGGUAACGGCGCACCAAGGCAACGAUACAUACCCGCCCUGCGAGGGGGAUCGGCCGCACUGGGACUGAGACACGGCCCAGACUCAUUCGGGAGGCAGCCGUAGGGAAUCGUCGGGAAUGGGCGGAAGUCUGACCGAGCAACGCCGGGUGAGUGAGGAAGGUUUUCGGAUCGUGAAGCUCUGUUGUAAGGGAAGCGGUAUCUUACCAGAAAGGGACGGCUAACUACGUGCCAGCAGCCGCGGUAAUUC